rnacentral:tRNA from 6 species
GCCGGAGUGGCGGAAUGGCAGACGCAGCAGACUCAAAAUCUGCCGAUAGCAAUAUCGUGUGGGUUCAAGUCCCACCUCCGGCACCA